UAACGCUUUUACUAUCCAUGCACGUCCGAUUGAUAAAUCUAUCAGCAUGCCAGUAUUAUCGUAUUGUUUUAAAGUUUUUCGUAGCGAAGGAGGAAUAAUAUGUCACGUCUCUAGCCUUUUCUCAAACAAUUACUGGUAGGAAAUCUUCAGAGAGAGUUCAGUUUGAAAAUGUCCACCAGACGAAGAAGAAAGUGGUAGAACAGAUACAAAUGUGGUGGCAGACCAACACUUCCACACCUCUUUAUAAUCACAACGUUUUAAUAGGUACAAUAAUUAAGGUAAAAAACCAUGUUUAUUCAAGGUUGUCUAUCGUCACAAUUUGUUUGCGAAAACUGUUUACAGUUUGAUACGUUGAAAAUGCGUCCCAAAGAUCGCUGCAGGUCACGCGGGAAACUGCAAAAAUGAGUUUUACUAAACCAAUUUUGACGAUAAGUACUUAACACAAGAUAGGGGGUCACGCGAUGACAAAGUUUGUGUAUUUAGGCGAUAAAUGCACUAGAGAAUAAAAAUGAUACGCACAUUCUGAUGUUUAUGAAUUAUUUAUGCAGAUUAAUUACGAAGAAACUGACUAUUUAUAUCGAGUGUCUAAAGAAUUACCAAGAGGUGUGUCACCGCAAAAAUAUCUUGGGCCACAAUCUCUUGGUUUUUGGAAAUGCGGAUGAUUCACGUGGGUAAUUACUAAAGUACCUAACGGAAAUUGCACGAAAAGGAUGUGCCGGUUGACUGACAGUUCAUUGACAGUUUUAGACCUCAUGGUUUUUGAAGACUCAAUCAUCUGGUGUAAUUAACACGCGCAGGCAGGAGCACAUGCAGCAAACGCAGCUGAGGACGAUCAACGUAAGGAUAAUUCCAACCCAAACGUCCGCCAAAAAUUGUUCGUAAUCUGGAUCGGUUUGUGCAGCAAUCACUUUAUCAACUUCCGUCGAAAGUAACACCGAAAAAUUCUUCUCCUCGAAGGGAUGGAUGUUGUCGAUUUUGUUGAAGAAGUACUUCUCCAUUUCACUCAUUCACGAAACUUGCACACUACUAAACUGAAUGCGGUGAAGUGACCAUGAGCCGAAGGUGUAAUGAUAAGAAGUUCUAGGCUUUCACUACUAUUGAAAUCUCCCACCUUAAUUUGUAAUUGAAUAACAUUAUACCUGCGACGACGUUUAAUCAGGUGAACAAAUACGGAACGAAUGCUGCCGCAAAGAUGCGUUUACGUACACCUGCUAUGGCGAAGGACACUUUUGCCCGAUGGGUUUUUUACCCUUCUUCUGCAACUACAAGAUGACGUGCGGGAAAUGUACGAGUUUCCGCGAAGAUUUUGAAGUUUGCAAUUACACACGUGUCGUCUAUUAUUUCAGAAAAGUUCUCACGAUCUCCUUAUCACGUAAUACUAUCGUUUUUUCCGCUAAUUUUUGUAAUAUGGGAUGACGGUAGCUUCAACACACAUACCCAUUUAAUUAUCACCAAAAAGUGUUAGGCGUCUACGAGAUGAGAAAAACGUCUACGAAUUUUAUCAAUAAAUUCCAAAAUAGUGAGGUCAUUGGAAGCAAUUUUUUGUAGGUCAAAUUUGAUUGUAAAGCUGUUACUAAGUUCAUUUACGAUUACGGCUUAAUUGUAGGUGUGACGCAGCAUGAAGUUUCUUCUUGGGUCUGAUGACUUUGUUAGAUCUUUUUCAUUGUGACUGUGCGGUUGCACAAUGUUAUUGUCAUCGCUUCUGGGAAAAAUGUCAGUAAAUAACUCCAUUCGCAUCUAAUACUGCUAAGAUGGACAAAGAAAAUUACAGUUUAUGGUUAAAUCUGCAAAGAUGCACGUAUCCUGAAAAGCAACAUACUGUGUAGCAAUGAUUUUUCCAUGUGAGUUUGUUAUCAACUUUGUAACGCAAAAAUCCGAUACAACCGAAUAGCGAACGACCCACAAUAUCUUCAUGCAUCCAUCAUUUUUAUAAAAAUUUUUUGGCUCCAUAGUCUAACGUAGCUGAAAAACAAUAGCGACCUCGCUGAAUCCCAUUUUGUUCAUUUUAUACAAAUAAACUUGGUCCCCCAACUCUGUUAUUGUUUAUAGAAUUCAUUUUGGAAUUCUGUGAAUCGCCGAUGACAAUAAUUUGUCUUCUACAUUCGACGUCGAUGUGAAGAUCUAUUGAUGAUUCCAUUAUCCCCUCAUAAUGCUUUCCAAUUCACGUUUUUCAUUGAGCAAAAUACUUAGAUGUUAACAAAUACUCAUUUGAAAGCAAGUUACCGAUACAAAGUCAAUUUUACUUUUUACAAUGCACAAGUACAAUCCAGUCUCUCGUAGGGGGCCAUUCACUGGUGUACAAUUUCAAUGGCAAUUACUAAUUACAAAAAAAUUAAUCAUUAAUGCUAUUAUGCACGACCGACCACUAGAAUCAUGUAAAGAAAAACUAAAAAACUUAACCGCGAAAUAUGGACUUGUUUUUUUGCGAAUAUUCUAGAAUAUUCCUCCCUCUCUGUUAGAAAUCAAUCCUUUUGAAGACUGAUUUAAAUUUAUUGUUAGUUCAUUGUAAAUAAAUAA